UGAUUCGCGAAGAAGAGGAGUAGUAGUGCGAUGGAUUCGUGUUUAGAGAGGUGACGGUUGCUGCAAGUCACACACGAUGGCGCAUGAACUUGCCUUGGAGCAUAGAUGUGGUUUUAGACCGCCGUAUUAUCUGCGUUAAAGAUAUUGAGUUGAGUGGACACACUAAUUUGGGUGGUACCGCGGGAGCUGGAUACUCUCGUCCCAUGG
rnacentral:ncRNA from 1 species